rnacentral:rRNA from 1 species
AGUGAACGCUGGCGGUAGGCCUAACACAUGCAAGUCGAACGGCAGCACAGUAAGAGCUUGCUCUUACGGGUGGCGAGUGGCGGACGGGUGAGGAAUACAUCGGAAUCUACUUUUUCGUGGGGGAUAACGUAGGGAAACUUACGCUAAUACCGCAUACGACCUACGGGUGAAAGCAGGGGAUCUUCGGACCUUGCGCGAUUGAAUGAGCCGAUGUCGGAUUAGCUAGUUGGCGGGGUAAGGGCCCACCAAGGCGACGAUCCGUAGCUGGUCUGAGAGGAUGAACGCCACAAUGGAACAUAGGCACGGGCCAGAAUCCUACGGGGGGGCACAGUGGGGGAUAUUGGGAAAAGGGGGAAAAGCUUAAGCAAGCACGCCGCGGGUGUGAAAAAGGGCCUGCGGGUGGAAAACCCUUUUUUUAGGGAAAAAAAAACAGGAGGUUAAAUCCCCGCGGUUUGAAGGGAACCAAAAAAAAAAACACCGGUAAAUUCGGG